AGCACUCUAAGGAGACUGCCGGUGAUAAGCCGCGAGGAAGGUGGGGAUGACGUCAAGUCCUCAUGGCCCUUACGGGCUGGGCUACACACGUGCUACAAUGGCGGUGACAGUGGGAAGCUAAGGGGUGACCCUUCGCAAAUCUCAAAAAGCCGUCUCAGUUCGGAUUGGGCUCUGCAACUCGAGCCCAUGAAGUUGGAAUCGCUAGUAAUCGUGGAUCAGCACGCCACGGUGAAUACGUUCCCGGGCCUUGUACACACCGCCCGUCACACCAUGGGAGUUGGCUUUACCUGAAGGCGGUGCGCUAACCAGCAAUGGAGGCAGCCGACCACGGUAGGGUCAGCGACUGGGGUGAAGUCGUAACAAGGUAGCCGUAGGGGAACCUGCGGCUGGAUCACCUCCUUU
rnacentral:rRNA from 1 species